AAGUCGUAACAAGGUUUCCGUAGGUGAACCUGCGGAAGGAUCAUUAACACGUAUCCAACGUUAAACCCCCCGUGAACCUUCAGUGCGCUCGCACUUUCUUAGAAAAGGUAGCAAUCCCUGGUAAAUCAUUGCCGAACAGUUUUGAUUCAGGGACUUCUGCGUAGACUGUGCUUGAGCGUGAGGCAAGUGGCCUGGCAUUCCUCUGCUUGUUGGUGUCUGAAAGUGUCACCAGCUCUGUACGAAUGGCGCAGUCACGAUCGCUAGAGGCCGACACCCCCUCGUCACCUUUGCAUGAAAACGGGCCUGCGCUUAAUUGUGCGGCCACCAAACUCGAACAACUGUUAACAAUGGAUAUCUUGGUUCUC
rnacentral:misc_RNA from 1 species